GAUGAACGCUGGCGGCGUGCCUAAUAUAUGCAAGUCGAGCGAACGGACGAGAAGCUUGCUUCUCUGAUGUUAGCGGCGGACGGGUGAGUAACACGUGGAUAACCUACCUAUAAGACUGGGAUAACUUCGGGAAACCGUAGCUAAUACCGGAUAAUAUUUUGAACCGCAUGGUUCAAAAGUGAAAGACGGUCUUGCUGUCACUUAUAGAUGGAUCCGCGCUGCAUUAGCUAGUUGGUAAGGUAACGGCUUACCAAGGCAACGAUGCAUAGCCGACCUGAGAGGGCGAUCGGCCACACUGGAACUGAGACACGGUCCAGACUCCUACGGGAGGCAGCAGUAGGGAAUCUUCCGCAAUGGGCGAAAGCCUGACGGAGCAACGCCGCGUGAGUGAUGAAGGUCUUCGGAUCGUAAAACUCUGUUAUUAGGGAAGAACAUAUGUGUAAGUAACUGUGCACAUCUUGACGGUACCUAAUCAGAAAGCCACGGCUAACUACGUG
rnacentral:rRNA from 1 species